rnacentral:rRNA from 1 species
CCUCCGGGUGUCCGCCGUCCUUGAUAUUUUUCAAUUUGGGAAACCCUGAACCAGCAACGCCGCGUGAGGGAAGACGGUUUUCGGAUUGUAAACCUCUGUCCUCUGUGAAGAUGAUGACGGUAGCAGAGGAGGAAGCUCCGGCUAACUACGUGCCAGCAGCCGCGGUAAUACGUAGGGAGCGAGCGUUGUCCGGAUUUACUGGGUGUAAAGGGUGCGUAGGCGGCUUGGCAAGUCAGUAGUGAAAUCCAUGGGCUUAACCCAUGAACUGCUAUUGAAACUGUCGAGCUUGAGUGAAGUAGAGGUAGGCGGAAUUCCCGGUGUAGCGGUGAAAUGCGUAGAGAUCGGGAGGAACACCAGUGGCGAAGGCGGCCUACUGGGCUUUAACUGACGCUGAGGCACGAAAGCGUGGGUAGCAAACAGGAUUAGAUACCCCUGUAGUC